CAUUAGAUGGCUGAAAGUAAGUAAUGGAAUUUUAAACCAUAUAAUAAUAUAGUAACGUAUAUUUCUAAUGA
rnacentral:tRNA from 1 species